UACGGGGGGAGCAAGCGUUGUUCGGAUUUACUGGGCGUAAAGGGCGCGUAGGCGGCCACCGCAAGUCGACUGUGAAAUCUCCGGGCUUAACUCGGAAAGGUCAGCCGAUACUGCGGGGCUAGAGUGCAGAAGGGGCAACUGGAAUUCUCGGUGUAGCGGUGAAAUGCGUAGAUAUCGAGAGGAACACCAGUGGCGAAGGCGAGUCCCUGGACAACACCUGACACUGAGGCACGAAAGCCGGGGGAGCAAACGGG
rnacentral:rRNA from 1 species